CCUAUAUCAAUACUGAACGAAUAACAAUGAGACGAAGAACAACGAUCAAGAGUUGUUGACGUAUUUUCUAAACUAUGUUAAAAAUUAAACUAGAGUUGUCUCUCUUUGUGUGUUGUUAAUUGUAAUUCACAAAUACCAAAAUUAAAAUACUGUACAGACUUUCUGUAUAUUAUACUCAUUUGUGUAGAGGUUCCAUCCUCUGUAUUUCAUUUACAACUUAUACAAAAACAAUCCUUUGAAUUAAAAAUACAUUUUAUUUCACCAACUUGUAUUUACAUUUUCAUGACUAGAAUAUACAUUUUUACUUUGUGGCAUUACUUUGGCUACAGAGUAUUCUAUAAUAUUUUGUUGAGGCGCCAGGGUGACUACCGAUUACCUAUACACAAUGGCUAUCAGCUGACCUAUGUUGACAUAGUGUCAUAAAACCCCUGGUAGUUAAACACGGUUACACCACCACCUACCAUGGGGAGUGACCGGGGAAAACACUCGUAUUACCAAUGCUCCAGUUAUUAGUGCCCCACCUGUUGGCAGGUGUAGGCCUCCCCUCUAUAAGAUGAGGUGGAGGAGGUCCCAGAGUCACCCAUCUGUAGACCCCACCGUUACCACUAACCACAUUUUCCAAACCUGCAAAUUUUAGAACUUGUCAGGCCCAGAGCAAGGGCCGAGUGAAAUAAUCCCCCAAUCACUACCAGUCUCCCUGGACCGCCACAUGAGAGCCCAAGUCAGCUACCAAAUCUGACAUGGGUUCUCACCUCCACAAAAUUUUCAUUAUUGAAUCUUAGGAAAAGUUGAUUAUGUUGUGCGUAGGAAAGACUCAACCCCCACACCCUUGUAUAUUAUUCAAGAAAACCUGAU
rnacentral:lncRNA from 1 species